rnacentral:rRNA from 1 species
GACGUAGGGCGCGAGCGUUGUCCGGAUUUAUUGGGCGUAAAGAGCUCGUAGGCGGCUUGUUGCGUCAGCUGUGAAAACCCGCAGCUCAACUGUGGGCUUGCAGCUGAUACGGGCAGGCUUGAGUUCGGCAGGGGAGACUGGAAUUCCUGGUGUAGCGGUGAAAUGCGCAGAUAUCAGGAGGAACACCGGUGGCGAAGGCGGGUCUCUGGGCCGAUACUGACGCUGAGGAGCGAAAGCGUGGGGAGCGAACAGG